rnacentral:rRNA from 1 species
AUUGAACGCUGGCGGCAUGCUUUACACAUGCAAGUCGAACGGCAGCGCGGGCUUCGGCCUGGCGGCGAGUGGCGAACGGGUGAGUAAUGCAUCGGAACGUGCCCAGUAGUGGGGGAUAGCCCGGCGAAAGCCGGAUUAAUACCGCAUACGACCUGAGGGUGAAAGCGGGGGACCGAAAGGCCUCGCGCGAUUGGAGCGGCCGAUGUCGGAUUACCUAGUUGGUGGGGUAAAGGCUUACCAAGGCGACGAUCCGUAGCUGGUCUGAGAGGACGACCAGCCACACUGGAACUGGGACACGGCCCAGCCUCCUACGGGAGGCAGCAGUGGGGAAUUUUGGACAAUGGGGGCAACCCUGCUCCAGCCAUGCCGCGUGCGGGAAGAAGGCCUUCGGGUUGUAAACCGCUUUUGUUCGGGAAGAAAUCCUCUGGGCUAAUACCCCGGGGGGAUGACGGUACCGGACGAAUAAGCACCGGCUAACUACGUG